UAUCCAUGUGGAGGGCAUUUGAUCAACAUAUCUUUAAAUCUUUCCCAACUUUCAAAAAAUUUCUCAUCCUCCUCCUGUGAAAAAGAACUUAUUUCCUUUCUACAUU